rnacentral:rRNA from 1 species
CAAUAGCGUAUACUAAAGUUGUUGCAGUUAAAAAGCUCGUAGUUGAAUUUCUGGGUGUGAUAGGCGGUCCGUGUGCAUAACAUGUGUACCUCCCUCUCAUGCCCAUCCUCGAAGUGAAUAUGCAUUGCCUUAACUGUGUCGUGUAUAGGACCUUCGUCAUUUACUGUGAGCAAAAUAGAGUGUUCAAAGCAGGCUUAUGCCGUUGAAUAUAUUAGCAUGGAAUAAUAAGAUAUGACUUCUGUCUAUUUUGUUUGGUUUGCAUUCGGAAGUAAUGAUUAAUAGGGAUAGUUGGGGGUUUUCGGUAUUCAAUUGUCAGAGGUGAAAUUCUUGGAUUUAUGGAAGACGAACUACUGCGAAAGCAUCAACCAAGGAUGUUUUCAUUAAUCAAGAACGAAAGUUAGGGGAUCGAAGAUGAUCAGAUACCAU